GGAGAGCUUUUAUUGUGGAAGUUUUGAGUCUUGUUUUAUUCGGAGUUCUGAUGUUGUCAUUGGAAGCUGGAGCUCUAUGCUUGGAGAGCUUUUAUUGUGGAAGUUUUGAGCCUUGUUUCAUUCGGAGUUCUGAUGCUGUCAUUGGAAGCUGGAGGUCGAUGCUUGGCGAUCGAGCUUGAUGCAAGAAAGGAAUAUAUAGAUAAUUGAAAAAUAGAAAUAAUUCUUCUUAACUUGGACAAUGAUAAAGUGGAUGGCGAGAAGGAAAUGAAAGUAUCUUGUUAAGAUGAGUCGCGUGCUGAGAUACAGAAACGCGUAUUGCGAACAGCUUUUCAGUGGAAAGUUCUGCUUAAGUGGACGAGUUCAAAACGUGUCUGGAUGAUUCGUUGCGCUCAGCCUCCGCGCGAGAAAAUGCACAGAUACACGAAACUUUUAACCCUCGGAGUACUGCGGGCGGAUAUUUACGUCCAGCAAAAACAGUCUGCAGCCUAAAGGCGCAUUUAUCCGCUCAGAAUGAAACGUUACCUAUGGGUAAUGGCGGAUAUGUGCGCUCGGCAAUUAUCGUUCAGAUUUACUACUACAUCUCGCCGAGCCUACAAGCGAAAAGUGAUUUCUAUCGCUUUCCAAUCCAUCCGUUGCCACAUGCAUUAAAGAAACUCUUUCAAUUA